rnacentral:rRNA from 1 species
AGCGAACGCUGGCGGCAGGCUUAACACAUGCAAGUCGAGGGGCAGCAGGUCCCGCAGCAAUGCGGGAUGCUGGCGACCGGCAAACGGGUGCGGAACACGUACAGAACCUUCCUUUAAGUGGGGAAUAGCCCGGGGAAACCCGGAUUAAUACCCCGUAACAUAAUGAAGUGGCAUCACUUUAUUAUUAUAGCAGCAAUGCGCUUGAAGAUGGCUGUGCGGCUGAUUAGGUAGUUGGCGGGGUAAAGGCCCACCAAGCCUACGAUCAGUAACUGGUGUGAGGGCACGACCAGUCACACGGGCACUGAGACACGGGCCCGACUCCACAGGGAGGCAGCAGUAAGGAAUAUUGGGCAAUGGAUGCAAGUCUGACCCAGCCAUGCCGCGUGGAGGAUGAAGGUCCUCUGGAUUGUAAACUUCUUUUAUCUGGGAAGAAAUCUAUUUUUUCUAAAGUAGUUGACGGUACCAGAUGAAUAAGCACCGGCUAACUCCGUGCCAGCCGCCGCGGUAA